rnacentral:rRNA from 1 species
UACGUAGGGACCAAGCGUUGUUCGGAUUUACUGGGCGUAAAGGGCGCGUAGGCGGCGUGUUAAGUCAGCUGUGAAAUCUCCGAGCUUAACUCGGAACGGUCAGCUGAUACUGAUGUGCUAGAGUGCAGAAGGGGCAAUCGGAAUUCUUGGUGUAGCGGUGAAAUGCGUAGAUAUCAAGAGGAACACCUGAGGUGAAGACGGGUUGCUGGGCUGACACUGACGCUGAGGCGCGACAGCAUGGGGAGCAAACAGG